rnacentral:rRNA from 1 species
AACGAACGCUGGCGGCAGGCCUAACACAUGCAAGUCGAACGCCGUAGCAAUACGGAGUGGCAGACGGGUGAGUAACGCGUGGGAACAUACCCCUCGGUUCGGAAUAACUCAGGGAAACUUGAGCUAAUACCGGAUACGUCCGAGGUUUUAAUCGACCUUGGAGAAAGAUUUAUCGCCGGAGGAUUGGCCCGCGUCUGAUUAGCUUGUUGGUGAGGUAAUGGCUCACCAAGGCGACGANCAGUAGCUGGUCUGAGAGGAUGAUCAGCCACAUUGGGACUGAGACACGGCCCAAACUCCUACGGGAGGCAGCAGUGGGGAAUAUUGGACAAUGGGCGAAAGCCUGAUCCAGCCAUGCCGCGUGAGUGAUGAAGGCCUUAGGGUUGUAAAGCUCUUUACCCGGGAAGAUAAUGACGGUACCGGGAGAAUAAGCCCCGGCUAACUUCGUGCCAGCAGCCGCAGUAAC